UUUACAUGUUUUACUGAUAGGAAAACAUUACAAAAAUUUAAUAUGUAUCAUGACACACAUUCGUAAGCCCGUUCACACACACACACACACACACACACACACACUCACACACACCAGCUCAUCCUCACCACUACACACUACAAACAUCACACUUAAAUUGCACUAUAUAACCUUACACUUAAAUAUUCAGUAAAAUGCAUUGUGACUUAGCCAGGAAGAACCUCACUCUGGCUAGCAUUUAUAAUGACCCCAAAAAACACUCGCUAAUGGAUCACUUAAGUCAGAAUUACAGUUAAGACAAAAAAAAUACUUCCCUAAAUAUUACCAUUAUUAUUAUUAUCAUUAUUAAUUAUUACAAGCAUUCCAGAUACAUAUAUACAACAUUUUUACUAAUAUUGUUUGCCUAAUCGUAACUUCCUUUAAUACCAAGUUUGUGUUUCAUGGAUUUUAACUUAGAUUUUUAUGUUAUGUCAAUUUAUUUUUAUUUUCCUUUCGUUUUGCUUCAUAAUUUUCAGACCAGCAGGAAAGUUUAGGUCCCUGAGAGGCUUAAGAAAACGGUUUGUGUUGCGGCAUUGACCGAAAACGCAAUACUGGGGGGUCCAUGAUGUUGCUUCUGUCUGCAACUCAAAGUACUAAAACACAUACAUCCUGAUCUUACUUCCUUUAUAACAGAAACAGCCUGGUCUUCCUUCUCCUAAAACAGAUACGUCCUGGUCUCAAUUCCUCAAUAACAGAAACAGCCUGGUCUUCCUUCUCCUAAAACAGAUACGUCCUGGUCUCAAUUCCUCUAUAACAGAAACAGCCUGGUCUUCCUUCCCCUAAAACAGGUCUUCCUUCCCCUAAAACAGGUCUUCCUUCCCCUAAAACAGAUACGUCCUGAUCUCUCUUCCUCUAUAACAGAUACAGCCUGGUCUUCCUUCCCCUAAAACAGAUACACCCUGAUCUCUCUUCCCCUAAAACAGAUACACCCUGAUCUCUCUUCCCCUAAAACAGACACUUCCUGGUUCUUCCUUCCCCUAAAACAAAUAUUCUCGUCUCUCUUCCCCUAAAACAGAUACACCCUGAUCUCUCUUCCCCUAAAACAGACACUUCCUGGUUCUUCCUUCCCCUAAAACAAAUACUCUCGUCUCUCUUCUAAAACAGAUACACCCUGAUCCCUCUUCCCCUAAAACAGACACUUCCUGGUUCUUUCUUCCCCUAAAACAAAUAUUCUCGUCUCUCUUCUAAAACAGAUACAUCCUGAACUCUCUUCCCCUAAAACAGACACUUCCUGGUUCUUCCUUCCCCUAAAACAAAUAUUCUCGUCUGUCUUCUAAAACAGAUACACCCUGAUCACUCUCCCCCCAAAACAGAUAUUUCCUGGUUCUUCCUUCCCCUAAAACAAAUAUUCUCGUCUCUCUUCCCCUAAAACAGAUACACCCUGAUCUCUCUUCCCCUAAAACAGACACUUCCUGGUUCUUCCUUCCCCUAAAACAAAUAUUCUCGUCUCUCUUCCCCUAAAACAGAUACACCCUGAUCUCUCUUCCCCUAAAACAGAUACACCCUGAUCUCUCUUCCCCUAAAACAGAUACAUUCUGGUCUCGCUUCUAAAACAUAUAUUCUAAUCUUCCUUCCCCCCUAAAAGCUAAACAAUACAAUAAGUUGGUGUUUUUGUGGUAAAAUCUUCAUAUAUUACCAUUAUCUCCCCUCAAACUAGCCUACUGCUCUGAUACAGGUGAUACAGGUAGGCUAUUUAAUUACUACAUCACCUAUUUACCUACCCACUAAGACUGCUCAGGUAGGCAAUUUAAUUAGUCUUUACCUGUCCUAAUCUAACGUUACUGUCUAUGCUUUUUGCAGUUAUUGCGCCUAUGUCUCUUUCUACCUGUUGAUUUUGACCAGGUAAAGUUUAAUUGGUUUUGUUUAUUGGUUUAACUUGCUUUUUUUCCCCGAUCGUUGACUUUAGAUAAUGUUUUUUUUCGUUAUUUCCUCUACUUCUUUUACUUCAUUAGCAUUUUCUACAUUAUUUUUUUUUCUUGUUUUCUUCUCCUCCUCCUCCUUCCUUUUCUUCUUCUUCUUUUUCUUCUUCAUCAGCAUUUUCUACACAAUACUUUUUUUUCUUCUCUUCAUUAGCGUUCAUGUCACGGAAGGGGAUUCGAACGCGGGACAGGUAUGAUACAGGUAAGUUAGAACCACACGCCAACCCCCUUAAGAGUUAAUUAAGCAACUAUUUACCUUGAAUCACCUUGAGAGGCACUGCAAAGAGGGUGGGGGG